GCCUGCGCACUGUGCUGGUCUCCAUGGCGGGGCCUCGGAGCCAAGACGAGAAAAAAUGCUGCUGUGAAGACAUAAUUAUAGCUUUCACAUAACUGAUGCCCCAACCAUCAUGAUUCAGUGCCCCCCAAAGGAAGAACUUCAGUGGAAAAGAGGGGGCAUUUCUGGGGAUAGUAGAGUGCUUGAGACCUGAAUUUAAACUCAAGCUCCUUCAUGAAGGUAUUAAAUAAUAGAAGAAAAUGGAAUUGAAUAUGAUACCAGCAUGGAACAGUCUGUUGAUUCAUUAAGAGUCAACCAUAAUGAUUCCGAAGAGUCAAAAACCGAUUCUCAGCAUCUAAGCUGUAUGGACUCCAAUGAGCCUUCUUUUGGACAAGAUGGUUCCCCUAGAGUUUUACCCAUUACUACUGCAGUGGAUAAUUCACUCACAUCACAGAAUAUACCAGGGCCCCUGACUCAGACACAGACUCUUUCUGCAGAGCAAUUCCACCUAGUGGACCAAAAUGGGCAGCCUAUUCAAUAUGAGCUUCAGUCAUUGGGGGAUUCUAAUGCGCAAAUGAUGAUUGUUGCCAGCCCAUCAGAAAAUGGACAGGUGCUGCGUGUAAUUCCAUCUACCCAGACAGGAACGACACAAGUGAUUGUACCUCAGGGGCAGCUUGUGGAUGUGAAUAGUCCUCAGGAUGUCUCUGAAGAGAAACCCAGUGACAGAAACUUACCAACUGUAAGAGUGGAUUCUCUAGCAGACAAUAACAGUAGUUACAUUCUUCAUCCACAAGCAUCCCUCACAUUGCCCAAAAAGACAGUGACCAGAAUACUUGAAGAACCCUUUUUGGCUCCACUCCAGCCACUUUCUUCUAACACACCUAUAUGGGCCUGUCGUCUUAGGAGCUGUGAGAAAAUUGGAGAUUCAUACCGUGGCUACUGUGUAAGUGAGACUGAAUUAGAAAGUGUCCUAACAUUUCACAAGCAGCAAACACAGAGUGUUUGGGGGACCCGCCAAUCUCCAAGCCCAGCCAAGCCAGCUACACGUUUGAUGUGGAAAUCCCAGUAUGUCCCAUAUGAUGGAAUCCCAUUUGUCAAUGCAGGGAGUAGAGCUGUGGUCAUGGAGUGUCAGUAUGGGCCAAGAAGAAAAGGUUUCCAGUUCAAAAAAAUCAGCGAGCAGGAAAGCAGGUCUUGUCAGCUCUACAAAGCUACUUGUCCAGCCCGGAUUUACAUUAAAAAGGUACAGAAAUUUCCUGAAUAUAGAGUUCCUACAGACCCCAAAAUUGACAGGAAAAUAAUCCGAAUGGAGCAGGAAAAAGCCUUUAACAUGCUAAAGAAGAACUUGGUAGAUGCUGGUGGUGUUCUUAGGUGGUAUGUACAGUUACCUACGCAGCAAGCUCAUCAGUAUCAUGAAUUAGAGACUCCCUGCCUCCCUUUAUCACCUUCCCCUUUUCCUAUGUCUUCUCUUGAAGAAGAGGAAACUGCAGUUAGAGAUGAGAACUGUACAUUACCCUCACGUCUGCAUCCUCAAGUAGCACUAAAAAUUCAAGAAUUAGUAUCACAGGGAAUACAACAAGUGUAUGCAGUAAGGAAACAGCUAAGAAAAUUUGUGGAAAGGGAACUGUUCAAACCUGAUGAGGUACCUGAAAGACAUAAUUUAUCCUUUUUUCCAACUGUAAAUGAUAUAAAAAAUCACAUCCAUGAGGUACAGAAGUCCUUGAGAAAUGGAGAUAAUGUAUAUAACUCAGAGAUUAUUCCAGCAACGCUUCAAUGGACUACAGAUAGUGGGAAUAUUCUCAGAGAGACUGUGACAGUUACACUUGCAGAAGGAAAUUCACAAGAAGAAGCAAUUUCCAGCAAAGUGGAAACAAAUCAGACAAGGGGUUCUUUGUCUCCAGAGCCAGCGCACUUGCUCUCCUCACUUUCUUCAUUUCAGCCAAAAAUAUUCACACAACUACAAGGUUUGCAGUUGCAACCAAGAUUCACAUCUUCUGAUGGAUCACCAGCUCUGAUAUCAGUAAAUAAUCACCCCUCCUCCAGUCCUUCAAGACUUCUGGAUUCAGUAGGAAGUGCUGUAAUGAAUAAUCACCCCUCCUCCAGUCCUUCAAGACUUCUGGAUUCAGUAGGAAGUGCUGUAAUGAAUAAUAAUUCUCUACUGCUUGGUCAAACUCAUUGCCUUCAAACAGAUACAUGCCUAACCCAAAACAAUAGUAUUUCCUCUGCCAUGGGUAACCUUCCAGGACCAGAUCAAAAUCUGGUUGCAGUGGAUCAGCUGGUGGAAGUUGGAGAUGUUGAGGAUACAGAGAAUCUGGAAGGAAAUGUUCAUCGGAUUCUGCUGGGAAAUGUGCAGACCAUUCCAAUACAGAUUAUAGACAGCCACCCGGCUCUUAUUGAAGAAAGUCCAGAAGGUACCAUUUCUGUGAACCAAGUUAAGCAAGAACCCAAAGAACCAGCAUUAUCUAUGGAAGCAAAAAAAAAAUUGGACUGUAAGAAAUUGUCUGCUACAUAAAUUAUUGAAGCUUUUCAGAAUUUACAACUCUGGUGACUUCUGAUGUCAUAAAAAAGAAGGUAGGAACUGGAACUAUCAAUAUUUUCAUGUUAUUUUGGAGGUAUUUUAAAGGAGCCAAUAUUUGACUGUCUUGGAGGUCCCAUCAAAAUCUGGUCAACUUGGAAACAGCGUGUUUUACUGAGGCCCUUUGAGCCUCCUGCACAGGGUCUGUCCAAUGACGACGGUGAGUGCAUCUAUAAGAGGAAGUUCAUAGGGAUGAAGAUGGGAGUAAGUUUUGUAUGUUCAGAAGGUUUCUCUUCAGACUGGCAUCCUUUGGAAAAACUGUCUCAGGUCAUUUAUGAAAAUCUUAUCAGAACUUUACUUACUCUUGUUUUAUUUUGUCCAUUGGAAGUCUAGUUCUCUCUGUAGGGGAGGGUCCCCAAGAUACAAGGUGCACAAGAUUCGACUUACUGUUGCUAGACUCAUAGGUUUAUCUUUAGUUCUGUACCCACUCUGGGCUGAACUCCUGCAUCUUGUCUGUAUUUAUACUAGGAUCAGAAUGUGUCAUCUUAACUUUCUAAUGAUAUUUGGAAUGACAGUGGUUACUUUGGGGAACUUUUGUUAUGAACAAAAUUGUUCCUUUUGGGAGGCACUUUGAAGCAAAAAAGAAGCAAUAUCCCAAACAUACAACUGUCUACAUUUUAAGGCAAGGGGAAACUUUCAAAAUAUAUUCAAGGGAUUAUGAAAUUGCCUCCUUAAAAGAUUCCUUGGCAAAGACAAGGGGAAAAUGUGAAAAAAUUAAAACCAUCUUUUCCAGAUCCCUUCAAAUCACAAUUUGAAUGUAAUGUCCUUUAUUCUACUUUCCUCAUCCUGUGUUCCUCCAUUUUCCUCUGUUCUGUCUCACCUUCGACUUUUUCUUCUUCCCUUCAGAACAGCUCAGGAGGAGAUGGUCUUCUUUACUGAAAAGAGAAAGAUUACUUUGUUUAAUAUGAGACCCCCCUCCCUCUCAUUUCUAUACUUUAAGUAUCAAUAACUACUGGCUUUUUAAUCAUACAAAUCAGAUUGUCAAGGGACCUGAAUUAAUGUUUAAAUCAAUUAUAAUGACCCUUUCCCUCUCUUUCUCUUUCUCUCCUCUCUUUCUUUCUCUUGCUCCCUCUCUCUCUCCUUCUCUCCCUCCCUCCCUCUCCCCCGUGCACAUAUGUCAAAAUAAUUUUCCUGAAUCUAAGUUUUCUCUUCUCCUUAAUUAAGGAAAGAUAAUUAGUCUUUUACAAUGAUAAUUUUGUAUUUGACUAAA